GACGAACGCUGGCGGCGUGCCUAAUACAUGCCAGUUGAGCGAUGAAGAUUGGUGCUUGCACCAAUUUGAAGAGCAGCGAACGGGUGAGUAACGCGUGGGGAAUCUGCCUUUGAGCGGGGGACAACAUUUGGAAACGAAUGCUAAUACCGCAUAACAACUUUAAACAUAAGUUUUAAGUUUGAAAGAUGCAAUUGCAUCACUCAAAGAUGAUCCCGCGUUGUAUUAGCUAGUUGGUGAGGUAAAGGCUCACCAAGGCGAUGAUACAUAGCCGACCUGAGAGGGUGAUCGGCCACAUUGGGACGGAGACACGGCCCAAACUCCUACGGGAGGCAGCAGUAGGGAAUCGUCGGCAAUGGACGAAAGUCUGACCGAGCAACGCCGCGUGAGUGAAGAAGGUUUUCGGAUCGUAAAACUCUGUUGGUAGAGAAGAACGUUGGUGAGAGUGGAAAGCUCAUCAAGUGACGGUAACUACCCAGAAAGGGACGGCUAACUACGUG
rnacentral:rRNA from 1 species